UAACUCCGGUUGAUCCUGCCGGACCCCACUGCUAUCGGGAUGGGACUAAGACAUGCUAGUCGUGCGCCUCCAGGCCACGGUGGAGGCGCGGCGCACAGCUCAGUAACACGUGGCUAACCUGCCCUUGGGACAGGGAUAACCCCGGGAAACUGGGGCUAAUCCCUGAUAGGUGAGGGCUCCUGGAAUGGGCCCUUGCCGAAAGGGCGCCUGGACCAUGCCUCUAGGCGCCGCCCAAGGAUGGGGCCGCGGCCGAUCAGGUAGUUGGUGAGGUAACGGCUCACCAAGCCUAUAACCGGUACGGGCCGUGGGAGCGGGAGCCCGGAGAUGGGCACUGAGACAAGGGCCCAGGCCCUACGGGGCGCAGCAGUCGCGAAACCUCCGCAAUGCGCGAAAGCGCGACGGGGCCAUCCCGAGUGCCGCCCGCUGAGGGCGGCUUUUCCCCGGUGUAGACAGCCGGGGGAAUAAGGGGAGGGCAAGCCGGGUGUCAGCCGCCGCGGUAAUACCCGCUCCCCGAGUGGUGGGGACGCUUAUUGGGCCUAAAGCAUCCGUAGCCGGCCAGGCAAGUCCCCUGUUAAAUCCAGCGAUUCAAUCGCUGGCCUGCGGGGGAUACUGCCUGGCUAGGGGGCGGGAGAGGCCGGCGGUAUUCCCGGGGUAGGGGUGAAAUCCUAUAAUCCCGGGAGGACCACCAGUGGCGAAGGCUGCCGGCUAGAACGCGCCCGACGGUGAGGGAUGAAAGCUGGGGGAGCGAACCGGAUUAGAUACCCGGGUAGUCCCAGCUGUAAACGAUGCGGGCUAGGUGUUGGCACGGCUACGAGCCGUGUCAGUGCCGCAGGGAAGCCGUUAAGCCCGCCGCCUGGGGAGUACGGCCGCAAGGCUGAAACUUAAAGGAAUUGGCGGGGGAGCACCACAAGGGGUGAAGCCUGCGGUUUAAUUGGAGUCAACGCCGGGAACCUUACCGGGGGAGACAGCUGGAUGAAGGCCAGAUUAAAGGUCUUGCCAGACUAGCUGAGAGGAGGUGCAUGGCCGUCGCCAGUUCGUGCCGUGAGGUGUCCUGUUAAGUCAGGCAACGAUCGAGACCCGCGCCCCCUGUUGCUACCGGCCAAUGAGCCGGGCACACUGGGGGGACUGCCGCCGAUAAGGCGGAGGAAGGAGCGGGCCACGGCAGGUCAGUAUGCCCCGAAUCCCCCGGGCCACACGCGGGCUGCAAUGGCAGGGACAGAGGGUUCCGACCCCGAAAGGGGGAGGUAAUCCCGAAACCCUGCCGUAGUUGGGAUCGAGGGCUGCAACUCGCCCUCGUGAACAUGGAAUCCCUAGUAAUCGCGUGUCAUCAUCGCGCGGUGAAUACGUCCCUGCUCCUUGCACACACCGCCCGUCGUUCCACCCAAGCGGAGCCCGGGUGAGGCGUGGUCCUUUGGGCUGCGUCGAAUCCGGGUUCCGUGAGGGGGGAAAAGUCGUAACAAGGUGGCCGUAGGGGAACCUGCGGCCGGAUCACCUCCUA
rnacentral:rRNA from 1 species